rnacentral:rRNA from 1 species
UACGUAGGGUGCGAGCGUUAAUCGGAAUUACUGGGCGUAAAGCGUGCGCAGGCGGUUCGUUAAGUCAGAUGUGAAAGCCCCGGGCUCAACCUGGGAACUGCAUUUGAAACUGGCGGGCUUGAGUGUGGCAGAGGGGGGUGGAAUUCCGCGUGCAGCAGUGAAAUGCGUAGAGAUGCGGAGGAACACCGAUGGCGAAGGCAGCCCCCUGGGCCAACACUGACGCUCAGGCACGAAAGCGUGGGGAGCAAACAGG